GUCUUCUCUGUUGGUUCACAUAUACUAAAAUUGGAACGAUACAGAGAAGAUUAGCAUGGCCCCUGAGCAAGGAAACAUUCUUAACAAAAUGAAAAGAUGUUCU